rnacentral:rRNA from 1 species
UGGGGAAUAUUGCACAAUGGGCGAAAGCCUGAUGCAGCAACGCCGCGUGAGUGAUGAAGGCCUUCGGGUUGUAAAGCUCUGUCUUUUGGGACGAUAAUGACGGUACCAAAGGAGGAAGCCACGGCUAACUACGUGCCAGCAGCCGCGGUAAUACGUAGGUGGCAAGCGUUGUCCGGAUUUACUGGGCGUAAAGGAUGCGUAGGCGGAUUUUUAAGUGAGAUGUGAAAUACCCGGGCUUAACUUGGGUGCUGCAUUUCAAACUGGGAAUCUAGAGUGCGGGAGAGGAGAAUGGAAUUCCUAGUGUAGCGGUGAAAUGCGUAGAGAUUAGGAAGAACACCAGUGGCGAAGGCGAUUCUCUGGACCGUAACUGACGCUGAGGCAUGAAAGCGUGGGUAGCAAACAGGAUUAGAUACCCUGGUAGUCCACGCCGUAAACGAUGAGUACUAGGUGUAGGAGGUAUCGACCCCUUCUGUGCCGCAGUUAACACAAUAAGUACUCCGCCUGGGAAGUACGAUCGCAGGAUU